rnacentral:misc_RNA from 1 species
CUCCCCUGCUCGGUCGCUGUCGCCACUCCUCUGCUCGGCGCCGCCGCCGCCCCUUCCCUGCCCGACCACGCCGCCAGGACUCCACGCCGCCUCCCGCCCUGGCCGGGGCUACGUGCGCCCGCGCGAUCGAGGGCCAGACCACGCCGCUCCCGGUCCACGCUAGGCCUGCGCCCUUCCCCCAGCGCGCCGCUCUCCCCGCCACUGUCGGCCGUGCCCGGCGGCUCAUCCUCGGCGUCCGCGCCCCCAGCACAGCGCCCUUCCCGGCGUUCGCGCCCCCACGCACAGGUCUUCUUCUCGCGCGUUUGCUGUGCAGCCACUGCAGUGCUGCCAUCGUCGGGCCUCCGCCGACCUCCUUACCUAGCAGUGCCUCACCCUUCGAGCUUCUCCCUUCGCCGGCGCCGUCAUCAUCCCUUGCCAGGACCGGUGC